AAAGGUAUAAACUGGUCACUGGGAGGCAAGAGCAUCACAAGUAACAAUGCUAUCUUCACUUUCAGAAACAGCCAUAGUCAUAACAUCAACUCCAGAAGAAGCAACCACAAGUACGAUAUCAGCUUGACUCGAAGUAGUAGUUUCAACGAGGGGAGCAAGAGCCACGAAAUUUUUAGCUUUUGGAGCUUGAGUCAUGGUAACUUCACCCUCGAGAGCUUGAUCCACAACAUUUUCAACUUCGAGAGCUUCAGACACAACUACUUCUUUUGCAAGAUUUUCAGUCAAGGGAGCCUCAACUGCAGGAGAAGGGAAGUCAAGUGGUUUUUGAGUCUUUUCAAUAGCCUCCAAGACUUUGGCAAAUUCUGACUCUAAGUCAAUGUUUUUUUAUUGGUCUCAGUUAAAACAUCACGACGGGAGUUCAGAAACGUCCAACUUACCUCCAUAUCCAACUUUUCUUCAAGUAAUUCGUAGUCUGUUGCCCAGACAGCAAGUUUACUUUUUAGGUCUUCAUUCUCAGUUAAUGUUGAAUCAAAGGAGGCUUGGAGGGAGGAAUGAGAAAUUUCUAAGGCAUGUACCUUGUCAGAAGAGAUUCUUAAAUCUUCUUGAGCUUGAGUCAAGCUUUGCACUAGCUCUCCUGCAUACUCUUCUUUUUUGCCCAGAAGUGCCCUAAGUUCUCUAAUUUCUUCACUUGACUUCGACAACUAUUCCGAGAAAGAACACUCAAGGCGCUCUUUUUCCUUCUCUGUUUGACUUGUAGAAGCCUUGGAAACUGCUAGCUCUGAGGUCAGUGUACGAUUCUG
rnacentral:lncRNA from 1 species